rnacentral:rRNA from 4 species
UACGUAGGUGGCAAGCGUUGUCCGGAAUUAUUGGGCGUAAAGCGCGCGCAGGCGGUCCUUUAAGUCUGAUGUGAAAGCCCACGGCUCAACCGUGGAGGGUCAUUGGAAACUGGGGGACUUGAGUACAGAAGAGGAAAGCGGAAUUCCACGUGUAGCGGUGAAAUGCGUAGAGAUGUGGAGGAACACCAGUGGCGAAGGCGGCUUUCUGGUCUGUAACUGACGCUGAGGCGCGAAAGCGUGGGGAGCAAACAGG